rnacentral:rRNA from 1 species
UGGGGAAUAUUGGACAAUGGGGGAAACCCUGAUCCAGCCAUGCCGCGUGUGUGAAGAAGGCCUUUUGGUUGUAAAGCACUUUAAGCAGUGAAGAAGACUCUUCGGUUAAUACCCGGAGACGAUGACAUUAGCUGCAGAAUAAGCACCGGCUAACUCUGUGCCAGCAGCCGCGGUAAUACAGAGGGUGCAAGCGUUAAUCGGAAUUACUGGGCGUAAAGCGAGCGUAGGUGGCUUGAUAAGUCAGAUGUGAAAUCCCCGGGCUUAACCUGGGAACUGCAUCUGAUACUGUCAGGCUAGAGUAGGUGAGAGGAAGGUAGAAUUCCAGGUGUAGCGGUGAAAUGCGUAGAGAUCGUGGAGGAAUACCGAUGGCGAAGGCAGCCUUCUGGCAUCAUACUGACAC